rnacentral:rRNA from 1 species
UACAGAGGGUGCAAGCGUUGUUCGGAAUUAUUGGGCGUAAAGCGCGUGUAGGCGGCUUUGCAAGUCGGGUGUGAAAGCCCUCAGCUCAACUGAGGAAGUGCGCCCGAAACUGCAGAGCUUGAGUUCCGGAGAGGAUGGCGGAAUUCCCCAAGUAGAGGUGAAAUUCGUAGAUAUGGGGAGGAACACCGGUGGCGAAGGCGGCCAUCUGGACGGAAACUGACGCUGAGACGCGAAAGCGUGGGUAGCAAACAGG